GCACUGAUCCUGUAGGGCUGCCGUGAGGAUCAGUGAGGAGAACAACACCCGGGCGCCCAGCCUCACACCCUCCCAACACCGCUCAGGCCCCAGCAGCCGGAGGCAGGCGCAGGGACCCCCAGGACGUCCAGCUUCACCACAAGGCGCCUCCCAGUCUGCCCCCAAUCAGAUGACUCGCCCGGUCCCAGCCCCCCAGCUCUGUGUCCAAGGUGGUCUUGGUGAGUCCCUGGACACACGUCACUGUUUUCGCGGGGCUCCCACAGUCACCCUGUAGCCAAGAAGGGCCCCCCGGACUUGGAGGCAGCCUGGGUUAACCUCCCUGCCCAACUCACUGUGUGACCUCCACGCUCCCUCAGUGUCCCCGCCCUGCUCAGGACCAAUGCCCGCAGGGACAGUGACCUGGCCAGCCCCUCAGCCAGCUGCUGGCAGGGCUGGGUUGACAUCCCAGGGUCUGGACUUCAGGCUGAGAGAGGGGGGCCCCCGGAAGCAUUCCUGGGUCGGGGACUCCAGUUGUCUGGCAGGGCAGAGAGGGGCCUGGGAGUGGAUCCCACAGCCCUGUCACCAGGCAAGCGGGAGGUCACGGUCCCACAUACCAGGCUAAUUGGGGUCUGGCAGAGCACACUCCAAACGGCCGGCCUGGCUUUCCCACCCUGUGCACUGACCCCACCCCCAACACACACCCCAAAUCCACGCUGACCAAGCCCCGUGCCACCUGGGCUGUCCCAGGAGGCCGCAGACCAGGCCCUCUCCCAGCCCGGAGGCACCAGGGUGGCUGGGAGCUGCAGGCCUGGGCAUGUCCCCCUGACCGCUGCGGCCAGGGCGCGGCAGGGAAGCAGCCAGGAGACGCGCACGCCCCAGGGGCCUGGGAGAGAUGAGGCUGGCCACAUAAACAGCGACAGGGACUGCGUCUGCCCUAAUCCAAACACUGGAUGUGGAAACCGAGCUCCCAGCACGCAGCGCCUCCCCGCAGGAAUUGCCCAACGGGUCUGUUGCAACGGUUUUGAAUUCCGGCGCCAGCCUCCAGAUGCUGCCGGGCCAGGCUCCCCGCUCCCGGCCACCCCGGAGCUCCCAGGGUUUGGGGAGUGACGGCCCCAGGGCAGGGGCUGGGGGGCCAGGCCCCUCUGGACUACGGGGCAGAUGGGGCCUCAGAGGCAAGACUGUUUCCGGCCAGCCCAUUCCCCACUCCCAGAACGGCCCCCAGGUAUCACCCGCUGGCCCCCAGGAGGCAGGGAGACCACGCCUGUGCCGGCACGGAGAGGCUCCCCCACCCUCCUGGCGCACUGGCGGCCCCGGCGGAGCGAGUCAGUCUUAAACCUGCCCCCACAGAUGCAGCCUCAGCCCCUGGGGUGCCCCUCAGCCCGCGCUCCCGGCCAGGCUUUGGGUAUCCCGGCCUCGGCCCGUCACACCCACCCGCGACCUUCUCUGGGCAAAAGCCAGAACCGGCCCGAUGCCUUCCACCGCCGUUCACCAGAGCUCUCCUUUCAUCUACAGAGUCUGAUUUUUUGUUGUUGUGGUUUAGCCACCAUUUUACUAAGCACUUCACGAGGUGCCAGUGGGACACGACCUCCUCUCCUCUCCUGGUCCCCCUGAAGCAGGUGCCAUCGCCCCGUUUCCCAAGUGAGAAAACCGAGGCUCAGGUGGGGACAGGACCACACGCCCAGGUGCAGGCUCACUCCUUUCAGUGUCCGUCCUCCCUGGUCUGAGCGAGCCCCGCCCUGCCCUCCCUCGGCCCAGCCAGGCACCGGCAGGCCACCCCAGGGCAGGGCACGGUCAGACGGAGCCCCUGCGGCCUGAGCCUCCCUGGGCCCCUUCGGAAGGGGAGCUCCUUUCCAAGAGAUGGUUCUACAGGGACCCACAAGAGCUGUCUGUGUAGAGACAUCUCCCUUCCCACAGCCCGUCAGCUGGGGGGUGACCUCGGGGGAGUGCCCCACCCCUCCUAAGGGACCCCCAGGUCUCAACUCAUUGCCCUGGUGAGGGGCACACCAUCCAGGCUGUCCCCCAGGCCUUACACCUCAGAACCGAGCCCCCACCUCGCAUGGGGGCAGAAACGCCCGGGGCUGCUCUCCAGGAAGCGGCCAGCUGCCCCGGAGGGUGUAGCACCCUCUGAGCCUCGGCGCCCUGGCUGUAAACAGGAGGGGCAGCCACUCCUUAGCCAGGGUCUCCCCGGGCCCUGCACCCUAAGAUAACCAGCCCAGCCCCUUCUGCGCACACGCACCCCUCCCAGGAGGGUUCGGAUCCUCACGCUUGCUCGGGCCACGGCGUGGCUAACGUGUUCCCCAGCAUGUGCUGGGUGGGCCAUGCUGGUCUCUGCCGCCGCCCCCACUCAAUCCUCCUAGCGUGGAACCCCAACCCAGAGCCCAAGCCCACAGGAAGCCUCGGAGGCGAACCCACCAGAGAAUCCUGCCGUCCGCUCCAGCCAAGCUCAGGGGCCGGCCCGAGCCACCAACUGGCCCGUCCACGCCGGACCCAGACGGCACAGAGCAACGUGGCUAGUUAAAAGUUUUAUUGAUUGAACACAAUUGAGUCAUCCUCUUCUCCAAACACACAACUUUCCUUGAAGUCGGAAGGAGGCUCCGUACGCGGGGGGCUGACCCGCGGUUCACCGCGCACCAUGCAGGCACCGUGCCCCACGGCGGCUGCCGAGAGAGGACCAUCUACCCAGGCCAGGCCCUGCCUUGGGAUCAGCUCGAAUCUGUCAGAGCUCGCAACCAGGAAAUUUAUAAAGCACCUACUGUGUACAUGGUCGGGGCAGGGGGGUGGCGGAAAGAACUAGGAUACAAGUUCUCACCUUCAGAAGCUAAAACGGUGCCCGAGCUCUGCACCCAGACACAGAGGCCAGAGGGCACCGGGAAGAGUGGCUCUUUCCAAGGCCCCUGGGAGGGGCCAAGUUGGGUCGGGGCUCCAGGGAUGGGCAAGCUUUAGAGUCGGUGGAAGUGACAGAGAGCCCAGCGUCCUGGCUGCACCACUGACCAUGCCACCUGGCUUCAGGGAGCCUCAGUGUCCCCGUCGUUCCCAUGGGAAUCCCGUCAGCACCGACACCUCGGGGCCAGCGUAGGGGUGAAAUACAGUGCGGAGAGGUGGCUGGUGGCUGGUGCUGGAGACGUCACCAAAGAGAGACAUGGAGGAAAAUGGUGUGGUGGUUUCUGAAGAAGUCAGACACAGAAUGUCUGUGUCACCCAGCACCGCCAGCCCUAAGGAUAUGGUGUGCCCAGAAAGACUGGAAACUGGCCCCCAAAUCCAUGCCCACGUGGCUCACGGCAGCACCGUUCAAGGUAGUCGACAGGUGGAAACAGCCCACAGCCACGUCCAUCGGCGCACGGAUGAGCAGCACGUGGCCCGCCGUGCGGGGGGCAUCACUCGGCCACAGAAAGGAUGAGGCGCCGACACGCGCUCCGCCACGGUGAACCUCGGAAACGCCACGCACGGUGAAAGAACCGGGCACAAAAGGCCACGUCAUAGGAUCCCAUUCACAUGAAAUUACCCGAACAGGCAAAUACUUAGACAGAAAGCAGAUUGGGGGUUUCCAGGGGCUGGAGAGGGGACGGAGGCUCCUUUUCGGGAGAUGACCGUGGUUUGGAACUAGACAGAGGUGGUAGCUGUGCCACAUUAGGAGCACACUAAAUGCCACUGAAUCGCCCACUUUAAAAUGGAUCAUUUUAUGCCGUGUGAAUCUAACUUAAAUAAAAACAAUCUUUUUAACGAAGGAAAUUCAUACAGACAAGCAUGAUGCAUGAACUCUACCCACUGGGCC